GUGAACGCUGGCGGUAGGCCUAACACAUGCAAGUCGCACGGCAGCACAGUAAGAGCUUGCUCUUACGGGUGGCGAGUGGCGGACGGGUGAGGAAUACAUCGGAAUCUACUUUUUCGUGGGGGAUAACGUAGGGAAACUUACGCUAAUACCGCAUACGACCUACGGGUGAAAGCAGGGGAUCUUCGGACCUUGCGCGAUUGAAUGAGCCGAUGUCGGAUUAGCUAGUUGGCGGGGUAAAGGCCCACCAAGGCGACGAUCCGUAGCUGGUCUGGGAGGAUGAUCAGCCACACUGGAACUGAGACACGGUCCAGACUCCUACGGGAGGCAGCAGUGGGGAAUAUUGGACAAUGGGCGCAAGCCUGAUCCAGCCAUACCGCGUGGGUGAAGAAGGCCUUCGGGUUGUAAAGCCCUUUUGUUGGGAAAGAAAAGCAGCAGGUUAAUACCCCGCUGUUCUGACGGUACCCAAAGAAUAAGCACCGGCUAACUUCGUG
rnacentral:rRNA from 1 species